rnacentral:rRNA from 1 species
CCCUUAGAUGUUCUGGGCCGCACGCGCGCUACAAUGGCAGACUCAGCGAGUUACCUCUGUCGAAAGGCACAGGGAAUCUUUACAGUAUCUGCCGUGAUGGGGAUAGACCCUUGUGAUUUUUGGUCUUCAACGAGGAAUUCCUAGUAAACGCAAGUCAUUAACUUGCAUUGAUUACGUCCCUGCCCUUUGUACACACCGCCCGUCGCACCUACCGAUUGAAUGGUCCGGUGAAGUCCUCGGACCCAGUUGAACCUCGAGUUGAACAGGGAAAGUUGACUAAAUCUUACCAUUUAGAGGAAGGUGAAGUCGUAACA